GACGAACGCUGGCGGCGUGCCUAACACAUGCAAGUCGAGCGGAGACAUGUUGUGGAAGUUUUCGGAUGGAAGCGAUAUGUUUUAGCGGCGGACGGGUGAGUAACGCGUGAGCAACCUUUCCUUGACAGGGGGAUAACGUACCGAAAGGUACACUAAUACCGCAUAAGGCCACAGCACCGCAUGGUGCAGGGGUGAAAUGGAGCAAUCUGGUCAAGGGUGGGCUCGCGUCCGAUUAGCUAGUUGGUGAGGUGACGGCCCACCAAGGCGACGAUCGGUAGCCGACCUGAGAGGGUGAUCGGCCACAUUGGAACUGAGAUACGGUCCAAACUCCUACGGGAGGCAGCAGUGGGGAAUAUUGGGCAAUGGGGGGAACCCUGACCCAGCAACGCCGCGUGAAGGAAGAAGGCCUUCGGGUUGUAAACUUCUAUCCUUGGUGAAGAGGAGAAGACGGUAGCCAAGAAGGAAGCCCCGGCUAACUACGUGCCAGCAGCCGCGGUAAUACGUAGGGGGCAAGCGUUGUCCGGAAUGAUUGGGCGUAAAGGGCGUGUAGGCGGCGAUUUAAGUCUGGAGUGAAAGUCCUGCUUUUAAGGUGGGAAUUGCUUUGGAUACUGGAUGGCUAGAGUGCAGGAGAGGUUAGUGGAAUUCCCAGUGUAGCGGUGAAAUGCGUAGAGAUUGGGAGGAACACCAGUGGCGAAGGCGACUAACUGGACUGUAACUGACGCUGAGGCGCGAAAGUGUGGGGAGCAAACAAGAUUAGAUACCCUGGUAGUCCACACUGUAAACGC
rnacentral:rRNA from 1 species